UUUGUCCUCUAUUGUCAAUUAUGUCAUUUAUAAAUAAAAUAUCACUUUCAAUCCAUUUAUCAAAAAACAGACAUUGUCCUUUAAAUUUUAUCAAACUAUUGCCCCAUAUUAUUUGCUUUCUGAUCUCUAAAAAGUUACAUAUUUUAUUAUUUUUAGCUUCAUUAAGAUUUACAUGUAUCCAUGAUUUUAUCAGUUCUUGAUAGAAUAGUGGUGUAUUGUUCCAUAUUUUUUUAUCAAUUAAUUUUAUGUUUCUUAUAUUUAUCUUGAAAAUUAGCAAAUUUUUGCCAAACUUAUUCAGGUAUAGUUUAGGCAACACCGACCAGUUAGCAUUUUCUGAUUGUAUUAUUUUUUUAAUCCAUUUUAUAUGUAUUGACAUUAUAUAAGACUCCAGAUCAAUCAUUUUUAAGCCCCCUUCAGCAUAAUUUUU
rnacentral:lncRNA from 1 species